CCUACGGGGGGCAGCAGUGGGGAUUAUUGGACAAUGGGGGCAACCCUGAUCCAGCCAUGCCGCGUGUGUGAAGAAGGCCCUCGGGUUGUAAAGCACUUUCAGUGAGGAAGAACGCCUGGUGGUUAAUACCCAUCAGGAAAGACAUCACUCACAGAAGAAGCACCGGCUAACUCCGUGCCAGCAGUCGCGGUAAUACGGAGGGUGCGAGCGUUAAUCGGAAUUACUGGGCGUAAAGCGCGCGUAGGUGGCUUGAUAAGCCGGUUGUGAAAGCCCCGGGCUCAACCUGGGAACGGCAUCCGGAACUGUCAAGCUAGAGUGCAGGAGAGGAAGGUAGAAUUCCCGGUGUAGCGGUGAAAUGCGUAGAGAUCGGGAGGAAUACCAGUGGCGAAGGCGGCCUUCUGGACUGACACUGACACUGAGGUGCGAAAGCGUGGGUAGCAAACAGGAUUAGAUACCCGAGUAGUC
rnacentral:rRNA from 1 species